CCCUUAGAUGUCCUGGGCCGCACGCGGGUUACACUGAUGCAUUCAACGAGCUUAUAACCUUGGCCGAGAGGCCUGGGCAAUCUUGUUAACGUGCAUCGUGAUAGGGAUAGAUUAUUGAAAUUAUUAAUCUUGAACGAGGAAUUCCUAGUAAACGCAGAUCAUCAAUCUGCAUUGAUUACGUCCCUGCCCUUUGUACACACCGCCCGUCGCACCUACCGAUUGGAUGGUCCGGUGAAGCCUCGGGAUUGUGGUUCUUGCCGCUUUAUUGUGGCGUGACCGCGAGAACUUGUCUAAACCUUAUCAUCUAGAGGAAGGUGAAGUCGUAACA
rnacentral:rRNA from 1 species